GGGUUGGCGCAAUGGUAGCGCGUGCCCCUCCUAAUAUUAAUAUUUAAGGGCAAGGUUACAUGUUCAAGUCCUGUACCGGCCG